rnacentral:misc_RNA from 1 species
GUUAUAUAUUAUUAUAUUGUACCUUUACAUUUAAUCAGUUGAGGAACUAUAAGGUUGGGAAAGUUGCAGAAAAUUGAGCAAGGGACUUGCAGCCGACAUCAAUGGUGUUAUUAAAUUUAUAACUCUGGUAUAUUUUCUCCAUAUAAUUACCCUCAGAAUUUAUAAACCUUUCUCCCUUUUUUUUUCAAUUUUCAUAAAAAUCCUUGUAUUAAAAAAAUUCAAAAGCUUUUUUUUUUUUUUUAUUGAGUGC